AGCAGCCGCGGUAAUUCCAGCUCCAAUAGCGUAUAUUAAAGUUGUUGCAGUUAAAAAGCUCGUAGUUGAAUUUCGGGGUUAGUAGGUUGGUCAUGCCUCUGGUAUGUACUGGUCUCACUGAUUCCUCCUUCCUGAUGAACCUUAAUGCCAUUAAUUUGGUGUUUUGGGGAAUUUGGACUGUUACUUUGAAAAAAUUAGAGUGUUUAAAGCAAGCUAACGCUUGAAUACAUUAGCAUGGAAUAAUGAAAUAGGACGUUCGAUCCUAUUUUGUUGGUUUCUAGGAUUGACGUAAUGAUUAAUAGGGAUAGUUGGGGGCAUUAGUAUUCAAUUGUCAGAGGUGAAAUUCUUGGAUUUAUUGAAGACUAACUACUGCGAAAGCAUUUGCCAAGGAUGUUUUCAUUAAUUCAAGAACGAAAGUUAGGGGAUCGAAGACGAUCAGAUACCGUCGUAGUCUUAACCAUAAACUAUGCCGACUAGGGAUCGGAUGAUGUUAAUUUUUAAUGACUCAUUCGGCGCCUUA
rnacentral:rRNA from 1 species